UGGGGAAUAUUGCACAAUGGAGGGAACUCUGAUGCAGCGACGCCGCGUGAGUGAUGAAGGAAUUCGUUUCGUAAAACUCUGUUCUAUGGAAAGAAAAGGACUGUACCAUAGGAGAAAGCUCCGGCUAAAUACGUGCCAGCAGCCGCGGUAAUACGUAUGGAGCGAGCGUUGUCCGGAAUUAUUGGGCGUAAAGGGUGCGCAGGCGGCUUUACAAGUUGGAUGUGAAAUAUUGUGGCUCAACCACAAACGUGCAUCCAAAACUGCAAAGCUUGAGUUAAGGAGAGGUAAGUGGAAUUCCUGGUGUAGCGGUGGAAUGCGUAGAUAUCAGGAGGAAUACCGGUGGCGAAGGCGACUUACUGGACUUAAACUGACGCUCAGGCACGAAAGCGUGGGGAGCAAACAGG
rnacentral:rRNA from 1 species